rnacentral:rRNA from 1 species
GGGGAAUUGUUCACAAUGGGCGCAAGCCUGAUGACGCAACGCCGCGUGGGGGAUGAAGGUCUUCGGAUCGUAAACCCCUGUCGAAUGGGACGAAUAGCCACCGGAUCAAUACCCCGGUGGAAUGACGGUACCGUUAAAGGAAGCCACGGCUAACUCUGUGCAAGCAGCCGCGGUAAUACAGAGGUGGCAAGCGUUGUUCGGAAUCAUUGGGCGUAAAGCGCACGUAGGCGGCUCCGCAAGUCGGAUGUGAAAUCCCUCGGCUCAACCGAGGACGUGCAUCCGAAACUGCAGAGCUUGAGUAUGGAAGAGGGUCGCGGAAUUCCCGGUGUAGAGGUGAAAUUCGUAGAUAUCGGGAGGAACACCAGUGGCGAAGGCGGCGACCUGGGCCAAUACUGACGCUGAGGUGCGAAAGCGUGGGGAGCAAA